UCUUCAUCCAAUGGGGGGGGGGGGAAACAAUACUUGGAAUAAAAUAAAAUACCUACUUCUCAAUAUUUCAACUAUUUUUUCUUCUAAAAUGUUAUAUCUCUGAUGAGGAGUGAAAGCUUUAGGGCCUGCUGGUGACAGAGGGAGGCCGGUGGAGCCAGACGUGGGCCAGAUGGAAUGGGCCAAGUGUCCAAUCCGUUCCUUUAAUGACUCCUGGGCCGGGGCGACCUGUCACUGUGAGCAAGGGGGAGGGAGAAAAAUGAGCCAAUUCGUUUCUAAAUGGCUCUGUAACUCCAGGGUGUUAUCGAGCAGAGACAAAGGACACCCCAUAAUUCUUGGGAAGGGAAUCAGGAUCUCCAGGAAGCAGGCACAGAGGCUGUCCCGUCCUCCGCCACCCCCACAUCUCCCUGGGAUCUGAGCUCCAUAAAUACACAGCAAGAUCGAUCUCUGGGCGCCACCGAUUUUCCCUGGCUGUUAUUGAUCGCAUUCUUAGAUGAGUGGAGGCUUUUCGACCAGAACUAAGCUCUGUGUAUCUUUCUUGGAAGUCUCUGCAGUGCCGAGAGCCUGGCCAAGAGAGGAAGCGAUAUCUCCCGUUCCCUUCUCAGAAUGCUGCCCAGCGGCUGUGUCCUGGGUUGGUCAUAACUUUCCUUCCAAGGAGUAAGCGUCUUUUAAUUUUAUGGCUGCAAUACCAUCUGCAGUGAUUUUGGAGCCUCCCCAAAAUAAAGCCAGCCACUGUUUCCACUGUUUCCCUAUCUACUUGCCAUGAAGUGAUGGGACCGGAUGACAUGAUCUUAGUUUCUGAAUGUUGAAAACUAUGGAGCUGGCACAGGAGUGGCAGCGAGGAGAUAUCCCAAGUCCAAGGUCAGGAGCAGCAGCUUUGAGGAGACAGCCCACGUCCAAGGUAAGAGAAACCCAAGUAAGAUGGUAGGUGUUGCGAGAGGGCAUCAGAGGGCAGACAGACUGAGAUUACAAUCACAGACAACUAGCCAAUCUGAUCCCAUGGAACACAGCCUUGUCUAACUCAAUGAAACUAAGCCAUGCCAUGUGGGGCCACCCAAGAGGGAUGAGUCAUGAUGGAGAGGUCUGAUAGAAUGUGGUCCACUGGAGAAGGGAAUGGCAAACCUCUUCAGUAUUCUUGCCUUGAGAACCCCAUGAACAGUAUGAAAAGGCAAAAGAUAGGACAUUGAAAGAUGAACUCCCCAGGUCAGUAGGUGCCCAAUAUGCUACUGGACAUCAGUGGAGAAAUAACUCCAGAAAGAAUGAAGGGGUGGAGCCAAAGCAGAAACAACACCCAGUUGCAGAUGCGACUGUCUUCAGAGAAGUCCUCCUCCACCAAGAAAGGGACGUCAGGUUUGGGCAUCACAGGAUAGAAGACAAGAAUUCUGUAAGGCCCAUCAUAGAACUCCGCUGUAAACUCUCAGGUGAAAC
ensembl:lncRNA